GUCAGCAUGGCAUAGUGGCUUGAGUGUUGGACUAUCACUCUAGAAACCAGGAUUCGAUUCCCAGCUCAGCCA